AGAGUUUGAUCCUGGCUCAGGACGAACGCUGGCGGCGUGCUUAACACAUGCAAGUCGAGCGGUAAGGCUCCUUCGGGAGUACACGAGCGGCGAACGGGUGAGUAACACGUGAGCAAUCUGCCCUUCACUUCGGGAUAACUCCGGGAAACCGGUGCUAAUACCGAAUACGACCACUUCAGGCAUCUGAUGGUGGUGGAAAGUUCCGGCGGUGGAGGAUGAGCUCGCGGCCUAUCAGCUUGUUGGUGAGGUAACGGCCCACCAAGGCAACGACGGGUAGCCGGCCUGAGAGGGUGACCGGCCACACUGGGACUGAGACACGGCCCAGACUCCUACGGGAGGCAGCAGUGGGGAAUAUUGGACAAUGGGCGAAAGCCUGAUCCAGCAACGCCGCGUGAGGGAUGACGGCCUUCGGGUUGUAAACCUCUUUCAGCGGGGACGAAGCGCAAGUGACGGUACCCGCAGAAGAAGCACCGGCCAACUACGUGCCAGCAGCCGCGGUAAUACGUAGGGUGCAAGCGUUGUCCGGAAUUAUUGGGCGUAAAGGGCUCGUAGGCGGUCUGUCACGUCGGGAGUGAAAACUCAGGGCUUAACCCUGAGCCUGCUUCCGAUACGGGCAGACUAGAGGUAUGCAGGGGAGAACGGAAUUCCUGGUGUAGCGGUGAAAUGCGCAGAUAUCAGGAGGAACACCGGUGGCGAAGGCGGUUCUCUGGGCAUUACCUGACGCUGAGGAGCGAAAGUGUGGGGAGCGAACAGGAUUAGAUACCCUAGUAGUCC
rnacentral:rRNA from 1 species